UUCUAUAUGUAUUUCCUCCACAGUGAUGUUCCUAAAACAGCAAGCUGGUCUCCCAUUUCCUGUGAGGUUCCCUUAGUAACAACUUCUGUUUACUACAUACAGUUCGUUAAUCAGAAAAAAGAACAAUGUGAGAUGUGCGCGCGUACUGUGGUUGGUUUAAUUGGUGCAUUGGUGUCUGUCAAUUGCUUGGUAGGUGUUCCCAUGUUUUAGGGACCCAUGGGGUUUAUGUAGGGAAUUUUAUUUUGCUUUCCAAAGUGUUCUCGUGCUUCUGGUCUUAACCUUUUGUACCCGUGUCAUUUUCAGACUGCUUAGUACUGUUUUGUUAUGGGCAACUGCAUAGUGCUGUUAAGGAAGCAGAAAGCUUCGUUGGUUGAAUUGAUUCAUAAUAUGGCACCUUUAUCUUCUGCUAAAUGCCGUGAUGCUAGAAGAUUUAUUGUUGGCGACCUCUGUAUGUUGCUCUACAUGUUUGUAUGAAUGGGUUUGUAUAUCUGUUCAUGUUACAAGCCGACACCGCUAUCAGGCAGCAUUAUAAGAAGUAAACGACAGACAAUAUGAGAUAUGAUAUGAGGGUUUCUUAAAUUAUUAUCUUAUUUUUGUCGUGGCAUUGCUAUGUGCGAAGAGGUCCUCUUGCCGUCUUGGUUGGGAAAAGCUGGCAUCGGGUUAGAUAUUCCUCUGUGUGUGGUAACAUAUACUCUCACAUGCAACCCUUAUUCUUACCAGUCUGUACACAGAACGUGAACAGAAUGACUGUGCUCAUCAUCAUUUUGAUGCAAUGCCGGUCAAAAGUAUAGUCUCAUGUAGCACCAUGAUUGCUGGGUACUCGUAGUGGAGAGGAUAUGCAAGUUCUGGUGCUUUUUUCAGUGAUGCACCAACAUGGGGUGCACAUGAGUGAAUUUACCUUUAGCAGCACUCUAUGUGCAUGUCCUGGAAAAUAUGCUUUGUGUAAAUGCAAGCAGUUACACGCCAUGGCCAUCAAGCUUGCACUGGACUCCAGUAGUUCUGUCAGACUGUAGUUCGUGAUGUUCAUGCAAAGCUUAAUAUGAUUUAAGGAUGCAAGCUGGAUUUGUUAAAAGAUGCCACAGAGAAUCACAGUUACAUGGAGCUUGUUGCUUGCAGGGUAUGCGCAUAAUGCUCUUCAGAUAGCGCAGUGCAAUGGUCGCUGGUUUUCUAGGCAUGCUCGCUCUUGAGGAGUUAAGAUUCUUUUCAAGGAAACGCAGCGGUUAAGGGUUUCUCUGAAUGAAGGUUGAUGUUUCUGGACGAGCUAGGAGGAUUGACAAGGCCUGGGAUUUGGUUCCAGUAACGGUGUUUGAACCUACUGCUUCUAUGUUGAGGAUCUUUGCCAGGGUAAUGCAGGAGCUACAGGAGAAUAAGAUUAGCCAGAAUAGUGACCGAACUUUUUUUCCAACUUAGACCUGACAAGGGUAGAAAUCAUGUUUGGCAUUCAGAUAUGUAUGCUGCCAGUCCAAAGUGGGAUAGUAUCUUGCCAACAGAGACAGAGCACCCUCUAUAAUACGUUAAAGGUAAUUUACCGUGAGAUGAGAAGAUCUCUUCACAGGGCCAGCUAACACAAUGUGACCUUCAUGUAUGUGCAUGACUACUCGAAGGGGGAGGCUGGAGCUGCUUAAACAAAUAUCUGUAGAUUCAACCAUUUUAAGGAUGAUUCAUGUUCUUGUGGGGACUUCUGGGGAUUGAGAACUGAAUGAGACCAAUCAUCUUGAGUGGUGCUCCCAUCAUGUAGCAAAUUAUUGUCCUGUGAGUAGUGGCUCUGCUGCUUUAAAGAUCCAUGUCGACUUAUAUUGUGAGAUUGGCCAUUCAAGUCAAUAAUGUCAUGCUGCUGACCCCAGUUGGUGUAAUAUCAGCAGUAUCAUCUGAACUGUGCACUGCAAAUGGUAGCCCAGAUGUGGGUCCUUGAUCAUCUGAACAGACUGAGUGACCUACAAGCUCUUAUCUUGUACAGUAGUUGCGCCAUACAUCAUAAGACAAUACCUACAUGUGCAAGAUUUAUUCAUGUAGAAAUGUGCUGGAAGUGGAUUUCUUUGUUCCGUGCCCCUGUUGAUUUGGGUGUCUCAGGAAAUGAUUCGCCGCAAUGCAAAUACUGGGCACUAUUGUCUAUGGGUGUGCUGCAGUAGAUAACUGCAGCAAUUGAUACACAUCUUGGUUUGCUCCCUUAUGAUUUCACCAUCCUCAUUGUUGUUUCCGAUCAAAGAAUGAUGAGCUAUGGAAAGUGGUAUUCUCCAUUCCCUCAUCAGUGUUCCCACUCUCAUGUGUUCUGCAAUUUGUUAACACUUACUCCCUCUGUAAAGAAAUAUAAGAGCGUUUAUAUCACUUAACACUAAAGUAGUGAUCUAAGCGCUCUUAUAUUUGUUUACGGAGGGAGUAUUUGUUAUUUCAUAUUUGAUACUGUAUUUCUCCUUGUUGCGUUGAACAUAAUUACUACUGGAAAAUGUACUGCAUCAAUGCAAACCUACUCUAUGUAGGAUUUAAAUCUAUUUU